rnacentral:rRNA from 1 species
UACGGAGGAUGCGAGCGUUAUCCGGAUUUAUUGGGUUUAAAGGGUGCGUAGGCGGAUCUUUAAGUCAGCCGUGAAAGUUUGCGGCUCAACCGUAAAAUUGCAGUUGAAACUGGAGAUCUUGAGUAUAAACGAAGUAGGCGGAAUUCGUGGUGUAGCGGUGACAUGCAUAGAUAUCACGAGGAACUCCGAUUGCGAAGGCAGCUUACUAGGCUAUAACUGACGCUGAAGCACGAAAGCGUGGGGAUCAAACAGG